rnacentral:rRNA from 1 species
GAUACACGGCCCGUACCCCAAACCGACACAGGUGAUCAGGUAGAGAAUACCAAGGCGAUCGAGAGAACUGUGGUUAAGGAACUCGGCAAAAUGCCCCCGUAACUUCGGGAGAAGGGGGACCAUGCCCGGUGAACAUCUUCACGGUGGGAGCUGGGUGUGGUCGCAGAGACCAGAGAGAAGCGACUGUUUACUAAAAACACAGGUCCGUGCGAAGACGUAAGUCGAUGUAUACGGACUGACGCCUGCCCGGUGCUGGAAGGUUAAGAGGACCGGUUAGCCGUAAGGCGAAGCUGAGAAUUUAAGCCCCAGUAAACGGCGGUGGUAACUAUAACCAUCCUAAGGUAGCGAAAUUCCUUGUCGGGUAAGUUCCGACCUGCACGAAUGGCGUAACGACUUCUCUGCUGUCUCGACCACAGACUCGGCGAAAUUGCACUACGAGUAAAGAUGCUCGUUACGCGCGGCAGGACGAAAAGACCCCGGGACCUUUACUAUAGCUUGGUAUUGGCGUUCGAUUCGGUUUGUGUAGGAUAGGUGGGAGACUGUGAAGCAUGCACGCCAGUGUGUGUGGAGUCGUUGUUGAAAUACCACUCUGAUCGUAUUGGACGUCUAACCUCGGCCCAUGAUCUGGGUUAGGGACAGUGCCUGGUGGGUAGUUUAACUGGGGCGGUUGCCUCCUAAAGAGUAACGGAGGCGCCCAAAGGUUCCCUCAGCCUGGAUGGCAAUCAGGUGUUGAGUGCAAGUGCACAAGGGAGCUUGACUGUGAGACUGACACGUCGAGCAGGGACGAAAGUCGGGACUAGUGAUCCGGCACCGGCAAGUGGAAGCGGUGUCGCUCAACGGAUAAAAGGUACCCCGGGGAUAACAGGCUGAUCUUCCCCAAGAGUCCAUAUCGACGGGAUGGUUUGGCACCUCGAUGUCGGCUCGUCGCAUCCUGGGGCUGGAGUAGGUCCCAAGGGUUGGGCUGUUCGCCCAUUAAAGCGGCACGCGAGCUGGGUUUAGAACGUCGUGAGACAGUUCGGUCUCUAUCCGCCGCGCGCGUAAGAAACUUGAGGAAGGCUGUCCCUAGUACGAGAGGACCGGGACGGACGAACCUCUGGUGUGCCAGUUGUUCCACCAGGAGCAUGGCUGGUUAGCUACGUUCGGAAGGGAUAACCGCUGAAAGCAUCUAAGCGGGAAGCCUGUUCCAAGAUGAGGUUUCUCACCACCUUGCGUGGUUAAGGCCCCCUACAGACCAUGGGGUUGAUAGGCCGGAACUGGAAGCGCAGCAAUGCGUGGAGGUGACCGGUACUAAUAGGCCGAGGGCC